rnacentral:rRNA from 1 species
AGUGGCGCACGGGUGCGUAACGCGUGGGGAUCUACCAUAGGGUGCGGAAUAACUCAGAGAAAUUUGAGCUAAUACCGCAUAAUGUCUUCGGACCAAAGAUUUAUCGCCCUUUGAUGAACCCGCGUAAGAUUAGCUUGUUGGUGAGGUAAAGGCUCACCAAGGCGACGAUCUUUAGCUGGUCUGAGAGGAUGAUCAGCCACACUGGGACUGAGACACGGCCCAGACUCCUACGGGAGGCAGCAGUGGGGAAUAUUGGACAAUGGGCGAAAGCCUGAUCCAGCAAUGCCGCGUGAGUGAUGAAGGCCUUAGGGUUGUAAAGCUCUUUUACCAGGGAUGAUAAUGACAGUACCUGGAGAAUAAGCUCCGGCUAACUCCGUGCCAGCAGCCGCGGUAAUACGGAGGGAGCUAGCGUUGUUCGGAAUUACUGGGCGUAAAGCGCGCGUAGGCGGUUACUCAGGUCAGAGGUGAAAGCCCGGAGCUCAACUCCGGAACUGCCUUUGAAACUAGGUGACUAGAAUCUUGGAGAGGCGAGUGGAAUUCCGAGUGUAGAGGUGAAAUUCGUAGAUAUUCGGAAGAACACCAGUGGCGACGCGACUCGCUGGACAAGUAUUGACGCUGAGUGCGAAAGCGUGGGGAGCAAACAGGAUUAGAUACCCUGUAGUCCACGCCGA